rnacentral:rRNA from 1 species
GACGGGGCCCGCACAAGCGGCGGAGCAUGUGGAUUAAUUCGAUGCAACGCGAAGAACCUUACCAAGGCUUGACAUACACCGGUAACGCCCAGAGAUGGUGCCCCUUUGUGGUCGGUGGACAGGUGGUGCAUGGUUGUCGUCAGCUCGUGUCGUGAGAUGUUGGGUUAAGUCCCGCAACGAGCGCAACCCUCGUCCUAUGUUGCCAGCGGGUCAUGCCGGGGACUCAUGGGAGACUGCCGGGGUCAACUCGGAGGAAGGUGGGAUGACGUCAAAUCAUCAUGCCCCUUAUGUCUUGGGCUUCACGCAUGCUACAAUGGCCGGCACAAAGGGCUGCGAUACCGCGAGGUGGAGCGAAUCCCAGAAAGCCGGUCUCAGUUCGGAUUGGGGUCUGCAACUCGACCCCAUGAAGUCGGAGUCGCUAGUAAUCGCAGAUCAGCAACGCUGCGGUGAAUACGUUCCCGGGCCUU